GAAAGAGUGACGUAAGGGCCUCAACUAAGUUUUUCGUUCAUUCAUGACACCUAUCGAUGAUAACGAUAACUUAUUUUGCCACCAUUUCCGAAACGGCGCAGCCACAAACCGUUAGCCUGUUCGAGCUAGGGACGUUUUGGUACAUCUGUUCAGUCUAGCAUUUUGCUUAUCUCUCUUCACUAUUUUCCGUCUUAAUUGAAACGCCUGUUUCAACAUCUUACAGUUGCCUGUGCCUUUAACAAGCCCGGCUAUACUGAUCUUUACCAGAUUGGGUUGAAACACGCGCAAUGUAUUUUGCGUAUCUCAACCACUGACAAGCCAACCACGACAAGCCAAUAAUCCGCUUUGAGCCAUAACACUUCUGCAAGAUACUGCAGCUUUGCCAACCGGCGAUAUAUUUGGAGUUGCCUCAAAGGAAGCUCAGCGCUCGGACGGAAGUGCUGGAGACGCCGAAGCCCGCGAAACUCUUACUUGUGUGAACGACGAGUGCGCAAUUUUACCGCCGUAGAAUUAAGGGCGAACCUCGAGAACAUGUAUUUGGGACUGAAACGCAGCCUUGGCUACUUCCAUUUCAUUUCGGGAGCAGCAUCUCUGUUUUUCAGCCGUAGCUGCGAACGUCUGCGCGUGGGAUAAACUCCGUGACUGCACUUUUCUGGUGGUGGUUGAAUAAAGUACCCGUCUAUGAUGGUG